UACCACCCUGAACGCGCCCAAUCUCAUCUGAUCUCGGAAGCUAAGCAGGGUCUGACCUGGUUAGUACUUGGAUGGGAGACCGCCUGGGAAAAAAAGGA
rnacentral:rRNA from 1 species